GAUGAACGCUAGCUACAGGCUUAACACAUGCAAGUCGAGGGACCGGCGCACGGGUGAGUAACAUGUAUCCAACCUGGCCUUUACUCGGGGAUAGCCUUUCGAAAGAAAGAUUAAUACCCGAUAUAAAGGAUGGGGAUGCGUUCCAUUAGUUUGUUGGUGAGGUGACGGCCAACCAAGCCUUCGAUGGCUAGGGGUGCUGAGAGGAAGGUCCCCCACAUUGGAACUGAGACACGGUCCAAACUCCUACGGGAGGCUGCAGUGUGUAAUAUUGGUCAAUGGGCGUUAGCCUGAACCAGCCAAGUAUCGGGAAGGAUGAAGGCUUAUGGGUCGUAAACUUCUUGUAUAUAAGAAUAUGUAUUAUAUGAAUAAGGAUCGGCUAACUCCGUGCCAGCAGCCGCGGUAAUUC
rnacentral:rRNA from 1 species